rnacentral:rRNA from 1 species
UGCUUGCACCUUUCAAGCGAGUGGCGAACGGGUGAGUAACACGUGGAUAACCUGCCUCAAGGCUGGGGAUAACAUUUGGAAACAGAUGCUAAUACCGAAUAAAACUUAGUAUCGCAUGAUACAAAGUUGAAAGGCGCUACGGCGUCACCUAGAGAUGGGUCCGCGGUGCAUUAGUUAGUUGGUGGGGUAAAGGCCUACCAAGACAAUGAUGCAUAGCCGAGUUGAGAGACUGAUCGGCCACAUUGGGACUGAGACACGGCCCAAACUCCUACGGGAGGCUGCAGUAGGGAAUCUUCCACAAUGGGCGAAAGCCUGAUGGAGCAACGCCGCGUGUGUGAUGAAGGCUUUAGGGUCGUAAAGCACUGUUGUAUGGGAAGAAAUGCUAGAAUAGGGAAUGAUUCUAGUUCGACGGUACCAUACCAGAAAGGGACGGCUAAAUACGUGCCAGCAGCCGCGGUAAUACGUAUGUCCCGAGCGUUAUCCGGAUUUAUUGGGCGUAAAGCGAGCGCAGACGGUUGAUUAAGUCUGAUGUGAAAGCCCGGAGCUCAACUCCGGAAUGGCAUUGGAAACUGGUUAACUUGAGUGUUGUAGAGGUAAGUGGAACUCCAUGGGUUAACGG